rnacentral:tRNA from 1 species
GCGCCCGUAGCUCAGUUGGAUAGAGCACGUGCCUUCUAAGCAUGAGGCCGCAGGUUCGAAUCCUGCCGGGCGCGCCA